UACGAAGGGGGCUAGCGUUGUUCGGAAUCACUGGGCGUAAAGGGCGCGUAGGCGGCUUGAUAAGUCGGGGGUGAAAGCCUGUGGCUCAACCACAGAAUUGCCUUCGAUACUGUCGAGCUUGAGACCGGAAGAGGCGAGUGGAAUUCCCGGUGUAGCGGUGAAAUGCGCAGAUAUCGGGAGGAACACCUAUGGCGAAGGCAGCUCGCUGGGACGGUACUGACGCUGAGACGCGAAAGCGUGGGGAGCAAACAGG
rnacentral:rRNA from 1 species